rnacentral:rRNA from 1 species
GAACACGGAGCUUGCUCUGUGGGAUCAGUGGCGAACGGGUGAGUAACACGUGAGCAACCUACCCCUGACUCUGGGAUAAGCGCUGGAAACGGCGUCUAAUACUGGAUAUGUGGCGUGACCGCAUGGUCUGCGUCUGGAAAGAAUUUCGGUUGGGGAUGGGCUCGCGGCCUAUCAGCUUGUUGGUGAGGUAAUGGCUCACCAAGGCGUCGACGGGUAGCCGGCCUGAGAGGGUGACCGGCCACACUGGGACUGAGACACGGCCCAGACUCCUACGGGAGGCAGCAGUGGGGAAUAUUGCACAAUGGGCGCAAGCCUGAUGCAGCAACGCCGCGUGAGGGAUGACGGCCUUCGGGUUGUAAACCUCUUUUAGCAGGGAAGAAGCGAAAGUGACGGUACCUGCAGAAAAAGCGCCGGCUAACUACGUGCCAGCAGCCGCGGUAAUACGUAGGGCGCAAGCGUUAUCCGGAAUUAUUGGGCGUAAAGAGCUCGUAGGCGGUUUGUCGCGUCUGCUGUGAAAUCCGGAGGCUCAACCUCCGGCCUGCAGUGGGUACGGGCAGACUAGAGUGCGGUAGGGGAGAUUGGAAUUCCUGGUGUAGCGGUGGAAUGCGCAGAUAUCAGGAGGAACACCGAUGGCGAAGGCAGAUCUCUGGGCCGUAACUGACGCUGAGGAGCGAAAGGGUGGGGAGCAAACAGGCUUAGAUACCCUGGUAGUCCACCCCGUAAACGUUGGGAACUAGUUGUGGGGUCCAUUCCACGGAUUCCGUGACGCAGCUAACGCAUUAAGUUCCCCGCCUGGGGAGUACGGCCGCAAGGCUAAAACUCAAAGGAAUUGACGGGGACCCGCACAAGCGGCGGAGCAUGCGGAUU